ACACCUCGCGUGAUUUGUGCACAACCCCUUACGAGAUUUAAUUAUUAAAUUAGAGGAAAAAAUUAAAAAGUUAAGCGAGAGGACCGUCUACUCGCUUCGUGGCACAUACAGAUUGAUGCACGAAAUGAAUGAAUGAGUAAAUGAAAAUAUCUAUGUGCGUGUAUAACCAAUAAAAUGGCGACUCUGACUGUACACCGAUACAGAUGUCACUCAUACAAUGAAAAGAAAGCUUCCGUGAAUCGACCAGGGCCCUGUUUAUCAAAAGCUUGUAACUUGUAAUACAAGCGGAUGUCACUUUUUGACAGCGUUUGUUAGAAAGGGACUUCUACUUGUAUUACAAGUUAAUAGCUUUUGAGAAACGGGCCUAUGUACGCGGUGACGCGAUGAAAAUGUUGAGCAAGCUUGAUUUUCUUUCUACUCUAAUUUAUAAUUGUUCAUUUCAAACAAGGAUUAGUAUAUAUUUCUUGUACGGUAAUGACCAAAAUCAGCCGAGAAAGACGUAACUAUCCAGUGAAAUGGGGUAGUAAUAUACAUGUACCGUGAAUUCAAAUGUAACUCAGCUGAAAUUGAGCUGCUCAGCUGAUAUUCGGGUCGAGGUAACUCAGAUUUUAAUUGUCACGAAUUUACAAUGAUGGUAACAGAUCGGUUACGGAGAGAUUGACCUACCCCCUUAACCAUAACAUUUUACAAGCCUCGAUUAGUUAAUUUGUGUUUUGUCCUUUUCUUACAAAAUACAUUAUUUCUAAGCAGUGAAAGUGUUAUUAGUGCCACAAACUUACCUAUCUCGCUGUAAAGCACUCUCCGAUACAAUAAAAUACGCUUUAAUAAAACUGGGUUUAAAAUAACGCUCAACUGAUAUCGAUAACGCCAUCCAGUGAAAUAUGUUCACAUUGAAGUCUUGUGACUUAUGAAUAUCGAAAGAUUUUCAUACGUAAUAAUACUUAUUAAGUAAAUUUUCCAUAUUGCUAAUUAUAAAAACUUUUGUUACGUAAUUGAAAAUAGUUGGACGGCGUUAACGGUCAUAACAAAAAUAAAGUUAUACUUAACAAUACAGAUUGUCAAUUCACAUGAAAUUUUUGGCGAGGUGCGUAUACAUAGAUACUUAUGUAGGAGCCUUGUGAAGAUAUUUUUCUAAAUUAGACAUUAUUGAGCGCAUGUUGUGCUUUCAAUGAAAACGUGAGAAUAUAAUGUAUUGGAUUGGUGCUAAUUUUCAUCAUUUAUGAAAUACUUAACACUUAAGCCGGAUUCACAUUUGUGACGUGACGUGUCGUGUUGUGCUGUGCCGCAUCAGAACGGUAAUCGGUUGCAUACUACCAAAAAUAAUAGUAUAGAGGGGUCCUGUCAUAGUAAAUGUUGUAGUCACUGUAAAUUUACUGCCAUCUAUCGACACACGACUAUAACUCAAAAUAAACAUGUAUAAAAUUAUCAAAAAAAUUAAUAUGUAUGGAUAAAGGAUAAAUGAUUUUAUUAUGUUUAUAUCAUUUUGACCCAUUUUCAUUCACUGAUAUCUAUGUGUUAAAAUUGUUAAAUAUGAAACGGUGUCGUCACGCCAUCUAGCCGAGAAUAGGCUAAAGGUGUGUGCUCCAUCUAUCCGAGAAUGACUUUUUCUUGAUAUCCGAGGCACGUUUUUUUCUUAGACUUUAUUCAUCUUAUACGAAGUUACAUAUGUCUUUGAUAUUACAUUUAACAUGGUGGCGUUCAAAUAAGUGACGCAGUGUGCAUCAGAAUAGAAAUGGCACCCAAAAACCACAAAUUUGUGUUGAGAAUUAAAUCCAUAAUUUCCGUUAAAAUUGAACGUACCGAGGUGCCGUUUACCUUAUACAACGAAAUUAUAAAUUAAAAAAGGGAUUUCGUGUAAAACCGUUUUCAUUGAUGGCACAAUGUUUCUGAGGAAAACGAAUAUCUGUAUUUCAUGGUUGUAUCCUCGUGAUUUAAAUAUUAGUAAUUUGGGCUGUACCAAUAGCAUAAACUCAUUGUCAAAUAGGGGGCAAAUAUUCUUAUAUUCAGAAUAUUUCACGACAUCUAUUAUCAUUGGCACAUUCACAGGUAUACCGUCGGGUGACAAGCAAAACUUACUAAGUACUAUCAAAAAAUUAAAUCGUCUUGGGUCGUCCCAUUAGUUUUUCGUCAAGUUCUUAAAUUAGUCCUAUUCUGCUUUCGUCACUCAUUCUACAUUCGUCACAAUAGUCGGUGGCUUUCAAUGUAGAAUGCGUGACGAAAGCUGAAUAGGACUAAUUUAAGAACUUGACGAAAACCGAAUAGGACGACUCAAGACGAUACCAUACCGUCGGGUGGUCGGGUGAGAAAAACUCACUAAGUACUAUCAAAAAAAUAAAGUAACAAUGCACUGUAUUACACUUGUAACACGGUUUAAUGUCCAAUAAUUUCAAUGAUGUUAGUUAGUGGCUUUUGCUUAUCACCCGACGAUACAUUUUCCCAAAAUGCAUUUAAAUCAAUUUCAAAGCAAUAGUGUAGGUAUUGCAUUAUUCUUAAUAAACUUGUAAGUCAUUAUUAAUGUUUAUUUGAUAUUGUUCUCAUUGGCCAUAUGAUUAUUUUACUUAUGUUCUCGAUUUGUAAAUAUAAUUUGAAUUUGAAUUUGAAUUUAUCAGCAUUAUUAGAAUAAAACAUCUUAAACAUCUAUACCCAAAUACCAGUCGUUGGCACCAAGGUUUUGUAAGAUAGUCACUUCUAUAAUCUUUUGAAGAUAUUUAACACAUUCAGUGCCGAAAACCCGACGAUCGGGUAUUUUAUGAUUUCUUUCCCAGGCCGGACGAUCCGAUAGUCUAGUGCAGCGGUCGGCAACCUGCGGCCCGCGGGCCGCAUGCGGCUCGUGAACCUGUCACUUGCGGCCCGAGAGCCGCCUUGGCUAUUUUGUAUGUAAUAGUGACAAACGACAAUGUCUCAUAAAGUCAUAAAUAUUAACAAAGUACGGCCCGCGUCACCUCUGUUAAUUACUAUGUGGCCCUUGGCUGCUAAAAGUUUGCCGACCGCUGGACUCUAGUGGUACUACUGUUUUUAUAUGACGAAAUUGUUGUGGCCUGGCGCGGAUGUCUUGUUCGGAUGGGUGGUAGUGAAUGUGUUAAAGUACCAAUAAUUGGAUGGGCGCCGUCAAUAGGUGAAUUUACCCAACACGGACAUAGAUUAUUCAAUUAUAAUACCAAAUACUGCCAUAUGCUACAAUGAUAAUACCACAGCAUAACAAGUAUUAUUUAUAAUUUUCCUAUUGUGAAUAAACCUACGAAGAUUUAGUCUAAUUUAUUAUAUUAUGUUUGGAGCAAUAUAAACAGUAUCUAACUAUCACAUUAGCAAUCUAUAUAUUCUAUAUACACAAUCCUACUUACUGCUGUGCACUUGCCCAACAAAUUUAAUAAAAUGUGAUCCAAAAUGUAAAUAUAAUACCGUCACACAUUGCGUCAUGUUUGCCGAAAUAUUUGUUACGUCUAUUUCCUUAAUAUCGCAGGCGACAUGUUUACGCAAAUAUAACAUCGGAGUGUGUUGCGGUCAUUUUGUAUUUUGAUCUUAAGAAAGACGGAAAUACAGCAUUUAUUUUACUAUUUUAAUACUUAUACAGUUUGAAUGACUUUUUAUACUUUCAAAGACCUUAAUUGGACUUAAUUCGUGAUAAUAAGCAUUUUGCAGUGUUACGCCAACCAAUGCAUUUCUUCAUACAUUCACUCGUAACGAACAAAAUAGUGUAACUGUAACCCAAUGCAAUAAUGGUUAAAAGACCAAUAAGUUAAGCUAUUACUUAAGUAUAGUGACAAGAACUUUAAAUUAAGGAAGCUUGUUGAAUCCACUGCAUUUCCCUUAUUUUUAAUUUUCUUGAUUUCUAACAUUUCUCGUUUAUCGAUUUGAGCUUCCGUCUUUCUCGUACUUAUGGAAUAUGCGUUUUUGAAAGUCGGAUGUUUCAUUAUCGAUAAACGGUAAUGUUAGACGACAAUUUGGCAGGUAGAUAGUCGUUUGUUUCGUUCGAAGGAGAACGAUUUAGCGAGUUUUACAAACAGGAACGGGGAUAAAGCGCUUUCUGUGCAGUGUGCGUAGUCAACAUGCCAAUCGCGCACGCUCCAAAACGUUUCGUUAUCGUAGCGCAAGCGAUUGUCUCCAUGGCUAGGCACCCAGGGCCUACACAAGUUGACAAUCGUUGACUGCAAUCGAAACUUAAAUAAUGUAUCGAUAUAGUCACGUGACUUUUCCUCUUUCCCGAUACAUUUCCCUUUUCGUUUGGCGUUAAUCGAUGUACGAUUGUCAUCUUGACUACCCCCCCUGAAAUGAGUAGUUGGACUGCGGAUUACUUUAUGACCUUUAUGAUUACAACAGUAGCGUAACGUCAACAUAGUUUAAUGAAGCCAAAUACAAACUUUCUCUUUUCGCGAAAGUUGGCAAAUGGUUAAAAAAAGUCACAAUAAAUAAUGUAAUUAUAAUAAUGCUACUUACGUUCAAUGGCCAAAGUUAAUGAACUGUGCGACAUAAAAUAGUAGAAACUAAAUAUGUAAAGUGGAACUAAAAAAAUUCCAUACUAAAUUGUUGCCAUAUUUCAGCAUUUUACGUCAAAAAUGUGACAGUUAGGUAGAAAGUGGCGCCCUCAUUUAAUUUCUACUAUUUUGUGUCGCACCGUACAUACAUUUAGAAGUUAUUUAAGUAGUUAACUGGCAACACUUGUCGGAUGGCCUCUCGACAUUGGUCAAUUUCAUCAGUGUUGCCAGUUUUCAUUUCGAAAAUGGUAACUUCUAGCAUUAUGAAUCAAAACUGGUGCGUCUGUCGGUAGAUUUUGAAAAUAAGUAUUGGACGUUGCGCUACUGAGACUGCUCUGUAAUGUUAUUUUUUGUUGUCGUGUGUAAGUACCUUAUGAAUUUUAUUAAAAAACGUUUGUUUCGGUGAUUGACGAUAAACGUUAAUUUUAUUUACUUACAUUAUACGGGUUUUAAUACUCUUACACAAUAUAAAGAGAGGAAAUUAGAAAAUUAUUUAUCCAGUUUUAACGACAGAAUUUUAAAAGUUCGUAAAAAAUUUAAUCUAACGAAUAUGGCGGCCAUUUUUUUGUCUUUCACCCUUACCACGAAAGUUAGGGCGAAUGUGUCAUUAAAAUUCGUGUAUGCCAACAAUAGUGUCCUUUACCUUAGUACUUGUACUUCAGGUAAAGGUGGUAAUUUUUUCUAAUUCACUUUUUUCACUUUUACGAACAAAUCGCGGGGAGAAGCAAUAUAUAUAAGUAGCAAAUUUUAUUAGCUCAAAUAUUGUUUGCAAUCACCAAAACAAAAUCUCGCAGUACAUAGGAAUUUCUGAGGUAGUUCAAUUAUGUUUAUCCUGAUUAACAUAUAUUAUUUUAUUAUGGCGAUGUAGAGGCGAAUGGACGUUCAUUAUUUUUGUCAUGAAUUGAGUUGCCGAGCAUAUCAGACGAUGUAGAUAGGGUUUGGUGUUGAUUUUAAUCAAUAAAUUGUUAAAUUUGUA